ACGGCCGGCCGGCGUGCGGCGGCCGGCCGGCACGGCGGCCCCUGCCCUUUCCUUGACCAAACCUCGAGCUCUAGCAACCGGUCGCCAGCAAGCACCCGACAGCUGCCGCUCUCGACAAGCUCGACGGAGCCUCCUCUCUCACCACACGCCGUUGUCUCCGUCUUGCAUAAGUUGUUUCGAUCCAAUUUUCUCAGCUCCUUUCCUCUCCUUUUUUUUCUUCGUAGCGUGCAGCACAAGAGCGCACUCCAGCAAGCAGCGAGCACCACAAGGUUGCUGAUGCUCCAGCCUCCAUCAUGAUGCUGACCAGCAAUGGAAGUACAAAUCCAAAGGCAAGGGCUGGAAGCAUUGGAGAACAAACAAGAUUAGUUCCACUUCAGUUCUUUGCGGAUGCAGUUUUUCAAGUUUCCACUGUUGUUGCAGAAGCACGCUAGUAUCAAGUGGUUUAGAUUCGUUUUCAAGAACAUGUGUUGUCUUUUAUGUUUUUAUCGUUUCGAUCUGAGCGAUGAUAGCAUCAGCUCAUCAGCACAUCUGAAGUGUGUAUCAUAUGUUUGUGAGAGGAAUUUUUUGUCAACUUUUCAGCUCCACUUUGUACUACAAAAGUAUAUGUAAACUGAAGAAUCAAUGUAAUUGAGUAUUUUUCUAUUGAUAAU
rnacentral:lncRNA from 2 species